GAGACAGGAGGAAGCAGGCUCCCUGCUGAGCAGAGAGCCCGAUGCGGGACUCAAUCCCAGGACUCCGAGAUCAUGACCUGAGCCGAAGGCAGUGGCUUAACCCACUGAGCCACCCAGGCGCCCGGGGGAGGUAUUUUCAACUCCUAGCCUUGUAUAACCUAUCCAGGGAGCAAACGCAGCAGCUUUCUGUCAACUACCCUGUCCAACGCACUGUCUCCAAGAAGGAAUUCUGCCAGGUAUCUGCACUUCCAACACCAAUAAUGCUUGCUUCCCGGGCCCAGAAGUCUUUCCAGAAGUCAUCUGACCCGUUGGUGGGCUAGGGCCCCCGGGGAAGACUCACCGGGAGAGGAGCGAGGUCAUCAAAAUGAACCGAUGAUGCUCAGAAGUAAAGCCCGAGGUGCCAGGAGCCCUGCCGCCUGGGGCCACUCUGAAUGAACUCGAGGCCACGCUCAGGCUGCCUGGGCUCUUGGACGUGUCGCGGCCGUGAACUGGUGGGACUCCAACCCAAACAGAUUUGUAACAGUGGCCCGGGUGGCCAGGACUGCCAGAGCGGCAUUUGUGGCCGACAAAGGGACCUCUAUGGAGACAAAGGGGGCUCUUAGGACUCAUUCUGCUUUGGCUGCUCUAUUCCCAGCAAGAGCCAGCGGACUUCUUUUGUCGGCAUCAGGAAACAAAAGUGAUUCAUGUCAUCACGGGCCUCGCCGGGGUCUUUGUGGUCAAUCAAUGCACGAGCCUUUGCAGCUAGCAACCCUUACAGAUACAACUUACUGCGGGCCUACUAAGGGCCAGGGAUUAUUCUAGAUACCAGGCCCAUGCUGCCUAAUUUAAUCCUCCCAAACAAUGUCUGAUGUAGGGAACAUCCCCACUAUGGUCAGGUGAAAAACGGAGACGUGAAGAGGGGAAGGUCCCCCCGCUCGUUUCCCGCAGCAGGGCAAGCAUGCGUAGUCAGGCUUGGCCCACUCCCAGCUGACUGCUGUCCCCAACUGAUAACUGCUAUGAAUGUCUGACAGACCAAAGGGAGUCCCCUCCUCUAACCUGUCACCUCCAGGAAUGUUGAUCCGGAAGGCCCAGAAUGUCCCUGACAUUCGACAAAUACUUAACAGCAAAUGGAGCAAAGCCCAAAAGACAUGAGGGGAUUGAAAGUCAGAGUUUCUUCUAAAAUCCUCAGAAGAUGUUCCAGCUCAAUGCAAGGAUGUUUACAGAGGUUUUUGUUAAAAAAAAAAAAAAAAAAAAAAAAAAAAAUUAGGAUAAAAAGAAAUGGAGGUCAAAGUCCCUGUUGAUAAUUGAGCCAUCAGUGCCUUAUUUCUCAAAUA